GUUGCUGCUAGACGUGAGGUCCUCCGUCCACUCGUUCCCCAACCGACAACGGCACAUAGACAGACAGCUACGUGAUCCAAUCCAAGCCGUGCAUCACACGAACCGACUCCAUCAUCGACAAUCCCAUCAACCAUCCCACCUUUUAUAUACGCCUUUCCCCUCGAUCGCCCCGUUCUCUCCUGCUCCCAUCGCCGGUCGCAGCCUCGUCUUCGUUUCGUCGUCACAAUCGCGUGAGGUGCACCUAAUCUAAUCUUGUUGUUCCUCCUCUUCCUUUCGGUUUUCGAAUUAGAAUCCAGAGUAUUUCAGAUUACAGUAAGGUUGUGUCGUGAUUGCGUAGAUAUAAUUUCGCUGGUUAGCAAGGCUAGAUCUAGAUCCAUACAUGUUUGUCUCCUUCGUUACUUUCACAAACUCCCUAAUUCCUUUUCAUGCAUGAGCCAAUAUAUUCUCUAGACGAUUUUCUGUACGCUGUUCAGAUAUCGACAGGUGGUGUGUUCUCUUUGAUUCAGGAUCUUGUGUCAUCGGAAGAGGUGGUUCCUAUGGUGCCUCUCCUGUAGAUGUCUAUCCCUUGACCCAAGUUCGUCUGAGGUUUUCUGGCGAUCCACUUGUGACGCCUGAAUCAGUUGAUGCGCCAGAUCCGUCAGUUUAUGUUGUAUCCGGGCACGCCGUCGGUUCAUCUUCACCUUCUGAUUGAAGAAGGCUGCUUGCUGCUGUACACAAGGCGCCCGAGAUCAUCCGAUUUAUGGUUCAUGUUCACGGUUCCUUUAGCUUACAAGAUGAUGCUUGCCUGUCUCCAAACAUCACAGAAAGGGGGUGGGGCCGGGUUUUAUUUUCUUCCAAUCAAAUCAAGCCACGUAGGCGGGAGCACGGAUGGGAGCAUGGGAAGGGAGCAGGCAAGUCUCAUCCCAUCUUAAGUGCACCGCGAUCCUUCAUACCAAAUAUAUCGACAGGUGCAGCGAUAACUACGUACUGAAGAUCAAUGAUAACUGCAUAGUCAAGAUCAAUGAUAACUACAAACCAAGGUACUUCUAGCUGCUUCUAUCAGGCAAGCACUUCGUUAUAUCAAUUUAAAUUUGCAUAUCGCACGUCAUCCCAACGCAAAACAUAACCAUGCGGAACAACCAUAUUUUGGUUUGAUACAAGCUCGUUCAAGCGCCGGAGGCAAUUGGUCAUCCUAUUUAUGCUUCAUGUUUGCUGAUCAAAUCCAGAUAUGGCGUUCAUGGUUCCUUUUGCUGACAAAAUGAUGCUUGCGUGUGUCCAAACAUUGCAGAAAGGUAACUGUGUUGGUAAGCAGAUUGAUGCGCAUGUGUUGUAUUACUUGUUGUACUACAUUUGUAGGUAGGACGGUCUUUGCCAUGUCGGGUGUACUCGCUUGGCAGGCCAUGAGACAAUAAAACUUAUAUUUUGUUGGUCUUUGCGGGGUGGAGAUCGCGCGGGGAACUAUCAAUUUGUUUUAUUUUGCCUGGGUUCUCCACCUUGUCAUGGUGUCUCUGUCCUUGCCCUGUGUUGUUGAUUCCACAAGAUGCUCUUAAAUUGCACCACGAUCCUACAUAGUAAAUGUAUCGACAGGCCUGGGUGCGGCGAUAACUACGUACUGAAGACAAACGAAGGUACAUCUAACUGCUUCUAUCGGGCAAGCGCUUCGCUACAUCAAUUUAAAUUUGCAUAUGCACGUCAUCCCAACUCUUCGUCAAUGAACAGCCUUAUUUUGGCUUGAUAUGAGAUCUAUCAUACAUGUAAAUAUUUUUCUCUUGCACCCCACGAGAGAUCAUCAGCAUUCUUGUUCAAUGUUACAAUGUCUUCUUUUAGAAAAAAGCUGUUUGCAGGCUUUUCGAGAAGCUUUAUUUUCUCUGCAAAUUUUUUAUUGUACAAUGGUACCAGCUUUGUACCUUUGUCAUAAUUCAACUAUUUCCUGUUAGUUCUCA